rnacentral:rRNA from 1 species
CGUUGUCCGGAAUUAUUGGGCGUAAAGAGCUCGUAGGCGGUCUGUCGCGUCGAUCGUGAAAACUUGGGGCUUAACCCUGAGCCUGCUUCCGAUACGGGCAGACUAGAGGUAUGCAGGGGAGAACGGAAUUCCUGGUGUAGCGGUGGAAUGCGCAGAUAUCAGGAGGAACACCGGUGGCGAAGGCGGUUCGCGGGGCAUUACCUGACGCUGAGGAGCGAAAGUGUGGGGAGCGAACAGG